GCCUCUGUGGAUCAGGGUAGAUCACCUCGAGAUUGUUACAAUUAUUCAAACACCUAAUUAAUGAAGUGAUGUGGGUUCAAGUCCCACCAGAGGCA